GUCCACGCUGUAAACGAUGGGUACUAGGUGUCGCGGGUAUUGACCCCUGCGGUGCCGUCGCUAACGCAUUAAGUACCCCGCCUGGGAAGUACGGCCGCAAGGCUAAAACUCAAAGGAAUUGACGGGGGCCCGCACAAGCGGUGGAGUAUGUGGUUUAAUUCGACGCAACGCGCAGAACCUUACCCAGUCUUGACAUCCUGGUAACGCCCUAGAAAUAGGGAAGUGCCCUUCGGGGAUCCAGAGACAGGUGCUGCAUGGCUGUCGU
rnacentral:rRNA from 1 species